UACGUAGGUGGCAAGCGUUGUCCGGAUUUACUGGGCGUAAAGAGCGCGCAGGCGGUCGUGCAAGUCGCGUGUGAAAGCCCCCGGCUCAACUGGGGAGGGUCACGCGAUACUGCUCGACUCGAAGGCAGGAGAGGGAAGUGGAAUCCCGGUGUAGUGGUGAAAUGCGUAGAUAUCGGGAGGAACACCAGUGGCGAAGGCGACUUCCUGGCCUGUUCUUGACGCUGAGGCGCGAAAGCUAGGGUAGCAACGGG
rnacentral:rRNA from 1 species